CAGAAGUUUUCGGAUGGAAGCUUGUAAACUUAGUGGCGGACGGGUGAGUAACACGUGAGCAACCUGCCUUACAGAGGGGGAUAACGUCUGGAAACGGACGCUAAUACCGCAUAAGAUCGUAGGACCGCAUGGUCUAGCGACCAAAGGAGCAAUCCGCUGUAAGAUGGGCUCGCGUCCGAUUAGCUAGUUGGUGAGGUAACGGCUCACCAAGGCGACGAUCGGUAGCCGGACUGAGAGGUUGAACGGCCACAUUGGGACUGAGACACGGCCCAGACUCC
rnacentral:rRNA from 1 species